rnacentral:rRNA from 1 species
UACGUAGGGUGCAAGCGUUGUCCGGAAUUAUUGGGCGUAAAGAGCUCGUAGGCGGUCUGUCACGUCGGCUGUGAAAACCUGGGGCUCAACUCCGGGCCUGCAGCCGAUACGGGCAGACUAGAGUUCGGCAGGGGAGACUGGAAUUCCUGGUGUAGCGGUGAAAUGCGCAGAUAUCAGGAGGAACACCGAUGGCGAAGGCAGGUCUCUGGGCCACUACUGACGCUGAGAAGCGAAAGCAUGGGGAGCGAACAGG